rnacentral:rRNA from 1 species
GACGAACGCUGGCGGCGUGCUUAACACAUGCAAGUCGAACGGAAAGGCCCUGCUUUUGUGGGGCUCUCGUUUGGCGAACGGGUGAGUAACACGUGAGUAUCCUGCCCCUGUCUUUGGGAUAACUCUAGGAAACUGGGGCUAAUAUCGGAUAGGAGCUCCUGCUGCGUGGGGGUGGUUGGUAAGUUUCGGCGGUUGGGGAUGGACUCGCGGGUUAUCAGCUUGUUGGUGGGGUAGGUGCUUACCAAGGCUUUGACGGGUAGCCGGCCUGAGAGGGUGAACGGCGUCCAUGGUACUGCGAUAGGGACCAGACUCGUACGGGAGGCAGUAGUGGGGAGUAUUGCACAAUGGGCGGACGCCUGAUGCGGCAACGCCGCGUGCGGAAUGACGGCUUUCGGGUUGUAAACCGCUUUGGCAUGUGACAAAGCGUGCGUGACGGUAAUGAGUAAAGAAGCACCGGCUAACUACGUG